ACGGAAUGGCCUGGCACGGUGACCACGGAGUGCCCUGGCACCGGUGCCCGCGGCUGUGACGGGAAAAGGGUGGGAAGAACAGGGAAGAGGAAGCAGAAACAGGUUGUCUGUUCACUCUGAUGGUAGAGAAGACCUUAAAUGACCUGAUGGAGCUGAAAACCGUGGCACGAGAACUUCCUGCCUUCGAUUCCUCACAAGCUCGGGCAUACCACGAGGCUUGGAGACUCAAAACCUGAAGAGCCUGCAAUCAGAUUUCUCCCUUACUAUUCCUGCUCAUUGUCUUCUGUGGACUAAUACUGAACAUGAAAC
rnacentral:antisense_RNA from 1 species